GGAAAUGUCUAUUUUCUAAGGGAGAUAGCUGUUGAAUUUUUGGUAAUUUUCCAAGAGCCUCAUGGAUCUGAUAUUCUAUGUGGAGUACAGAAGUAGCCUUUGAGUGCGGUUCAAAAUAUAUAUAACAAUUUUGUGUUAUAUAUACGUUAUAUAAUAUAUACGGUAUAUUAAUCAUAUAUGAUUCCUAGCAUUGAGUGGGAGUUAGGUGUGACAGUA
rnacentral:misc_RNA from 1 species